GCAGAGUUGGUGCUCAAUAAAUGGUUGUUGAUGGUGACUUGAUUCCCCCAUCCUGCUCCAACCUCCCCUCACUGUGUGGCACACUCACCUCACACUCACUCACACCCAUCUCACUUUUGGGAAGGGGCUCCUGGGGCACAGAAAUGUGGUUCCCCUUGCCCCUGGAGCCCAGGAACAAACCUGUGCCCCUUCACCCCCACCCAGCCCACUCCCAAAGGCUCCGCUUCCCACCACCCCCAAUCCCCUAGGCCACGGGGGCUGGGCUGCGGCCUCCACAGGUUCCGGCCUGGCCUGAGAACCAGUUCCGGCAGAGCCAAAUUCCCUGGUUACUCAAUCGCUAAGACAACAGCCCCCGGGGGGCCUCGCCUCCUCCCCCAACGAGCAGGUGAUGACAGCCCCACCCGGGCCAGGGGAGCCAGUGACCUCAGCCUCUGGGGGCGGGAAUGAAGUGGGUGGGGUGGAGGGGCUCGAGCCAGCUUGGGGUGUGUCCUGAGCAAGCAAGCAAGGGAGGGAGAUCAAGCAUAUCCCACUGGGGCCAAGUCUCAGAGGAGGAGGCCGGCCAACCAAGCCCAGCUUCCUCCUGGCUGGGCCGGCCCAACCCGCCAGACCAGUGGCUGCUGCUCCGAGCUCUGGGAGGAGCAGAAGAGCAGGGCUAGAGGGGCUGGAGUGGGCAAGAGCCCAGGGGAACAUUUAAGGCCUUUUU